UACAGGCAGCAGAGUGCCUCGGUGGCCUUUGUAGCUGGAUUCUGAGUACGUCAAUCCAACCAUUUGGCCUUUUAAGGAUUAGAUUCCUUUUGGACAAGUGUUCUGCAGAGAGAGGCUAAGUCAUCACAAAAUGUGGCUCCUGCUCCAUCUAAGCAGCCCAAAGUUGCAUCCUUGCAGUUGGUUCUUUGCUGUUGCUCCCUGAAACUGUAUGGAGCCUACAUAGCUGACCUGGAUGACCUGGGCCUCCAACAUGUCAGGCCCCAAAUCACAAUGUUAAAAGUCUGAAGCCAGUGUGAGCCUGUGGGUGGUGCACAUUGAAACACUGACUCUUCAGCCUGGACCCAGAACAGGGGACACAGUUCAGAUUGUCUCCAGAGAGCUAGGUGUCAAGGCACGGAAGGUUCAGCUAUGAGGAUCAGGAGUUCAAGACCAUGGUGGAGGGGAAGACACAGUCUCUUUCUGAUGGUAUCUCCAAAGAAUGAACUGGGGAAAUUUAGACAACAGCUGUCAGAGGAGGAACAUCACCACAUCUUGGAUAACCACAGCUUUAAGAAGAAGGGCAAGAACAAUUGCCUUGAUGGGGGACAAUGGCUGAUGUUCCCAUUCCUCUGCCAGCUGACACUGAGCUCAUCAGUAAGGAUCCCAGGGUCCAGCACUUCAGGGUGACAUCACCUGCAGUUCUGUCCUAUGUGUCUUUGGGUACAUUCCUGAUUUUCAAAACAUCCAGAAAGCUAAGCAAGGAUAUACAAAUGGAAAAGGAUGAAGAUGUAUGUCACAGAUUCUCUCAUGCUACUCUUGGCUGUGCUGACCCUGACUAGCCAUCCAGAGGGUGGAAGAAUCAACAGCAGAGCAGGGACUCAAGGAUGGAACAUGUGCACCAUGGAUGGAUCAGUAGAAGUCAGAGUACUGGGAGGAGAAAACACAGGAGGCUCUGUGUUUUCAGAAAGUAACUUCAGAAACUGUUCCACAUCUACAACAAUAGCAUAACUGGUACAAGAGGAGCUGCAGGUCUGUGAACACAGCUUUGAGUUCAAUCGCCACAUUGGCAGGAGGAUCUUCAGGGUCACCAGAGGUCAAGCCGACGGCAAAGCUUUCGGGGGGGAAUCCUCAUGUCUACAUGCAAGACACUGAAGAACUACGACUCCUGUUGGCUAUGAUUGGGAAAAGAACACUUGAUGGAGAAACUACCUUCAACAGUUUUCCUCUAGGGUCUGGAACAAUUUUUACACUGGGCAGAUUAUCAACCACCUACUGAGGAUUAAAACUGUGGAGCAGCUCAUACCCCCUCCAGCCCCCACAAAUUGUGUUUGGAUUAGGAAAAGCAGCCGGGUUGUUGAACAGAUCUUCUUCCUCAAUUGUGUAUUGAGACAUCCAGUGAAGCUCAGUUAUGGAAACAUUCAGCCAACAAGUCACAGAGCCCUCUCUAAACUUGGAACACAGCACCAAGCUUCUGGCAAAAACAUGAAAUACGAACCACAUCUGACCCCAGGAUCUGUGUAGUGAGAUUUUUCAUUGAUGUGAAAAUAAAUGAAUACCUCAACUGACUUUGAAACAAUUGCACCUCAUAAAACACAGUGGUAUGAAGCUUCUACGAUAUUGGAGCUGAGACGAAAGGAUGGACCAUCUAGAGACUGCCAUAUCCAGGGAUCCAUCUCAUAAUCGGCCUCCAAACACUGACA
rnacentral:lncRNA from 1 species